rnacentral:rRNA from 1 species
UACAGAGGGGGCAAGCGUUGUUCGGAAUUACUGGGCGUAAAGGGCGCGUAGGCGGCCUGCUAAGUCGAACGUGAAAUCCCUGGGCUCAACCCAGGAACUGCGCCCGAUACUGGUUGGCUUGAAUCCGGGAGAGGGAUGCGGAAUUCCAGGUGUAGCGGUGAAAUGCGUAGAUAUCUGGAGGAACACCGGUGGCGAAGGCGGCAUCCUGGACCGGCAUUGACGCUGAGGCGCGAAAGCCAGGGGAGCAAACGGG